rnacentral:rRNA from 1 species
UACGUAGGGUGCGAGCGUUGUCCGGAAUUAUUGGGCGUAAAGAGCUCGUAGGCGGUUUGUUGCGUCGGCUGUGAAAUCCCGAGGCUCAACCCUCGGGUCUGCAGUCGAUACGAGCAAACUAGAGUGUUGCAGGGGAGACUGGGAAUUCCUGGUGUAGCGGGUGAAAUGCGCAGAUAUCAGGAGGAACACCGGUGGCGAAGGCGGGUCUCUGGGCAACAACUGACGCUGAGGAGCGAAAGCGUGGGAGCGAACAGG